AGAAUAUCAAAAAAUGGAAGGUGUGUUGAAUUUGCUCUUUGAUACGUUUGAAAUGGAUAAACACUAUCCCUGAGUCGAUGGAUCUCCAACAAGGCAGAACUGAGGCAGAACAGGAUGGCAGGUUCUUAACCCAACUACCCUUAGGCAAAAGGCCAGAUUCAGAUUCACACUGGACAGUAAAUAAAUGUGUGAGCAGCUAUUUACGAUUCUGAUCUUCCACUUCACACCUUCCUGCUGAGGAAAGAGCUGAUGUGGCAGCGAGAUGCAUCGAAGCAUUUCCUUCUCCUUGUGUUACCAUCACCCGAAAAUUAGGAGCCCUGACAUUUAUGGAGACUCUUCAUGUGUGGGAGCAAGUAAAGGACAGGGAGGAUGCUUGCGGUUGUCCACUUGUGAUCUGCUGUGUUUUUGUUGAUCUGCAUCCACCCCUGCUGACAACUCAGGUCCCAGAAACAUCUUAAAAAUAAAAAUAGCUGUCUCUUGCUUUAAGGUUUAGCAAACUGCAACUGUAGUGGAAGUCAAGAUUUUUGCCAAUCAAUUUUCAAAACUCACUGUAUCCCUUUUGGGGUCACUGGGUCGCUGGAGCCAGCUAAGCUACUGUUGGGUGAAGGCGGGGCCACACCCUGGACAGGUCAAACGCUCACACUCUUUCACAUCAACAAAACCUACAAAUCAAUUAUUGAUGCUCAAUAGGAAACAAAUCAGACUACCUUGAAGCUCCAUGCAAAACCUUCAAGUGAAACAUUUUAACAGCAAAACAUUUUUACAAAACAGAACUCAAAUUCAUGGCUACGACAGAUCGCCCCUCCCCCUGCACGCGCCGCGCAACUCUCCUUUUUUCCCUAAGGAAGUACUUGCAUGAAUUAUGUUCACAACUUCUCUGAAAUGUACAUCUGAAUGGAUAAGCUUGUUUGAGCAUUUCCAUGACAGUUCAAAAGAUUAGAUUUGUUCAUGAAAGUCACAUCUCUUUGCAAACAGGCACGGUGUGUGGGAAUCACCUGUUCUUUUGUUCCUGCACUUAUUUGCAAAGAAAGGUUCCACAUGCAACUUUUCUUGUCUUACACGCCGCCAGACUGCUUUAAGCGCUCAAGCUAAUCGAGAGAAUCCGGUUGAUUUUCGAAAUAAAAGAUUUCCGUCUAA